rnacentral:lncRNA from 1 species
GAAUGUGAUGUGUGUAUUUUGCUAACCCUAACCCCUCAUAUCUUGAGGACGUGUGCUUGUUGUCUUUUCUUAAUUUUGUGAGGUACGGAUUCGAGGUCGAAUCCUUUUCAAGAAGAUACAAGUACGACCACGAGGAUGGACGUGAAUGAGUGCGUAAUAAAUCCGUCCAAGGAAGUGCACAAGUGAAGUGUAAAGGAGGGCCUAAACACACCAAAAUCAGACCACUUCUUGCACUUGAUGGGCACCUCACCCUUGAGGGGUAUUAUGGA